rnacentral:lncRNA from 1 species
UUUUAAUCUCUCAAAGAUUUGCUGCAAAUGCACAUUCUGAAUUUGCCAAUUUCAGAAUAAAUUGAAGUUCUCCUUCUAAUGUUGCAUUCAAAGGGCCGUUCAUCGAAACCCAACACUAGCCGAGACAGGGAGCUGAGUAGCAAUUUAGAGACGCACCAAAAAGGUUACGCUCUUACCCUCUUUAAUGUAUAUAUCAAGUUUCGAAUGUUUAAUUCUGUUUUUAGAUGUAAUUUUGUUUUAUAAUGCAUGUUUAUUCGUAUGAUUAGACUUGAUUCUGCAUAUUUUGCGGAUUCUAGUGUAUUUGAAAGCUUGUGAAUCAUAUUUCUGUUACAAUUUUUUUUUUUUUUUUUUGAGAAUGUGUUUUUUAUGAUGAAUAUUUAAGACGCUUGUUGUUGCUGCGGUUUGCGUUCACGGAAUGACCAUUUCGCUUUUUUAGAAAAACUGUUAAAUUCAAAUUUAAGAGAUAAUCUGUUUUCAGUAAAAGUUCUUCAAUGGCUUCUAAAUGUGCUGAUUUCUUUUUUUGGUAAUUAGUUUUUUUUAUUAAUCACCAAAAGUGAAGGCAUUACAUAUCAGAGCAUAGCUACUCCCAGCUGUCUGCUCUCUCUCAUGAAUAAACUACACGUAAAAGCCAAUCUAUCUUAGCAUAUAGUGAGACUACCAUCCUGGAUCUAGGCUAGAAAUAAAACUUUCGUAGCAGUGUCUUUACAUUUCCUAUGGCCCUAAGGUUACAUAUACAGACUAUCUCUCUUGCCAAGCUUGUAUGAUCUCUGAAUGUUUGCUGGAAAAUUCUCUGAUUUCUUUCUCUCCACAGUGCAUGAGUGUAUUCAGCAUAUAUCAUCUUGAGAAGCUUUGUGACAGCUGACUUGCCUCUUGUUUGCUGACAGAUGCCCUGCAACUGAAUCUCCCAUGUUGAUCCAUCAUUAUUCUGAAUCUGUGCCCAUUGUUUCAAUCUGUUCCAAAGCCUUUUAGCAUAGAUACAUUCAGCAAACAAAUGAUCCCUUGUCUCCAAGUUGCAAUAGCACACAUAAGUCAUUCACUUUGAGCCCCAUUUCUUUAUUCUGUCUACAGUUAGCAAUCUUCCUUGGCAUUGGAGCCACAUUGUGAUUUUUGCUUUAGGCCUAGCUUCAUUGUUGCACAUUAAAGCUCUCCAGGUGACUUUGGGCAAUAUUGGAAUCAACUGGAG